GUGACUGCAGAUCAAACAGGAGAUGAAGAAAAGCUCCUCCUGCCUCUCUAGACUACUCCUGGCCUGGGCACAAUUGGUUUCUGGACAGAGCCAGGCUGGACUUAACUUCCACAUUCUCUGCCUCGUCCCCCGCAUCAGUGCGGGCAGAGGGGGAAUGGGUGCUGCAUUCAGCUCAUCACACACUUUCUCUGGUGCUCCUUCCUCCUCAGGGGGAGGACUUCCCACACUCUUCCUAGCACCAGUCUCUCCCACAGGAGACAGUCCUCCAUGACCUUCUCCAAGAACAAGCUACCAACAAAUGUGUUGCCUUGGGAGCACCUUGUGCUGGUAGGUUUGAGAGAUGACAAGGGGUGUCUGCAUCCAUCUCUAGCAGAGGUACCCGAGCUAAAGCCUCCAGCUGCCCUCACAGCUGAGCAGUUUAUUGAAGGAACCAAUUUGUUCCCUGGGAAGAUCUUUUCCAUCUGUCCACCUGAUUCUUCAAAACAGAAGAAGGAAGAGCAGGCAGCUGGUCACCCCCACAAUGUGAUGCUGGCCAGAUAAAUCAUGGAGAGUGCCACAGAAGGGGAUCCAUAAGUGAACAGUUUCCCAGAGUUUAUUUUGGACCAAGGGAAGGCGGUUGCCUUUGGGAAGAAGCUGUGGUAAAUGAAGCAAAACAGCAAAGCCCUCCCCAGCUGAGAGAUGGAGACAGCCCACACCUUUUUAAACUGUAUCAUUCCCUAAAGAGCUUUAGGUUCACUUUGAUAUCUGAGAACAGCCCAGACUUUGCCAUCAAAAUCAGACUUAUU